rnacentral:rRNA from 1 species
CCUACGGGCGGCAGCAGUGAGGAAUAUUGGUCAAUGGACGAGAGUCUGAACCAGCCAAGUAGCGUGAAGGAUGACUGCCCUAUGGGUUGUAAACUUCUUUUAUAUGGGAAUAAAAUGUUCCACGUGUGGGAUUUUGUAUGUACCAUAUGAAUAAGGAUCGGCUAACUCCGUGCCAGCAGCCGCGGUAAUACGGAGGAUCCGAGCGUUAUCCGGAUUUAUUGGGUUUAAAGGGAGAGUAGGUGGAUUGUUAAGUCAGUUGUGAAAGUUUGCGGCUCAACCGUAAAAUUGCAGUUGAAACUGGCAGUCUUGAGUACAGUAGAGGUGGGCGGAAUUCGUGGUGUAGCGGUGAAAUGCUUAGAUAUCACGAAGAACUCCGAUUGCGAAGGCAGUUCACUGGACUGCAACUGACACUGAGGCUCGAAAGUGUGGGUAUCAAACAGGAUUAGAUACCCGGGUAGUC